rnacentral:rRNA from 1 species
CUACGGGUGGCUCCAGUGGGGAAUAUUGGACAAUGGGGGAAACCCUGAUCCAGCAAUGCCGCGUGUGUGAAGAAGGCCUGCGGGUUGUAAAGCACUUUCGGUUGGGAGGACUGCUUCUAGCACUAAUAUUGUUGGAAGUUGACGUUACCUUCAGAAGAAGCACCGGCUAACUCCGUGCCAGCAGCCGCGGUAAUACGGAGGGUGCAAGCGUUAAUCGGAAUUACUGGGCGUAAAGCGCGCGUAGGCGGCUAGAUCAGUCGGGUGUGAAAGCCCCGGGCUUAACCUGGGAACUGCAUCUGAUACUGUCUAGCUUGAGUACAGGAGAGGAGAGUGGAAUUCCACAUGUAGCGGUGAAAUGCGUAGAUAUGUGGAGGAACACCAAUGGCGAAGGCAGCUCUCUGGCCUGAUACUGACGCUGAGGUGCGAAAGCAUGGGGAGCAAACAGGAUUAGAUACCCCAGUAGUC